rnacentral:rRNA from 1 species
UCGCUUGUUGGUGGGGUAAUGGCCUACCAAGGGCGACGACGGGUAGCCGGCCUGAGAGGGCGACCGGCCACACUGGGACUGAGACACGGCCCAGACUCCUACGGGAGGCAGCAGUGGGGAAUAUUGCACAAUGGGCGAAAGCCUGAUGCAGCGACGCCGCGUGAGGGAUGACGGCCUUCGGGUUGUAAACCUCUUUCAGCAGGGAAGAAGCGAAAGUGACGGUACCUGCAGAAGAAGCGCCGGCUAACUACGUGCCAGCAGCCGCGGUAAUACGUAGGGCGCAAGCGUUGUCCGGAAUUAUUGGGCGUAAAGAGCUCGUAGGCGGCUUGUCACGUCGGGUGUGAAAGCCCGGGGCUUAACCCCGGGUCUGCAUCCGAUACGGGCAGGCUAGAGUGUGGUAGGGGAGAUCGGAAUUCCUGGUGUAGCGGUGAAAUGCGCAGAUAUCAGGAGGAACACCGGUGGCGAAGGCGGAUCUCUGGGCCAUUACUGACGCUGAGGAGCGAAAGCGUGGGGAGCGAACAGGAUUAGAUACCCUGGUAGUCCACGCCGUAAACGUUGGGAACUAGGUGUUGGCGACAUUCCACGUCGUCCGGUGCCGCAGCUAACGCAUUUAAGUUCCCCCGCCCUGGGGAGUACGGGCCGCAAGGGCUAAAAACUCAAAAGGAAUUUGACGGGGGGCCC